rfam:Jatropha curcas cultivar GZQX0401 scaffold537_54, whole genome shotgun sequence.
UUGCUAAGAUGAUGCUAUGAAUUAGUAGAAAGCGUAUUUUGAUUGCUCGAUGAAACUUCGACGUGUAUGUCGAUCCUGAGCGGUUACCUGAGCAA